UACGUAGGGUGCGAGCGUUAAUCGGAAUUACUGGGCGUAAAGCGUGCGCAGGCGGUUUUGUAAGCCAGAUGUGAAAUCCCCGGGCUUAACCUGGGAAUGGCAUUUGGGACUGCAAGGCUCGAGUGCGGCAGAGGAGACUGGAAUUCCUGGUGUAGCAGUGAAAUGCGUAGAUAUCUGGAGGAACACCGGUGGCGAAGGCGACAUCCUGGACCAACACUGACGCUGAGGAGCGAAAGCCAGGGGAGCAAACGGG
rnacentral:rRNA from 1 species